GACAGAAGAUUAGCCCAGCACCGAAGCCCACUGUCGUUUGACAGCAGGGCAAUGUGGUGUUCAGGCAGGCACCUGGGGUCGUUCGGUUACUCUAAGUCCAUCUUUGAAAGUGGCUCUACAUUGUCCAGAGCGGGUGGAAGACCCUUACGAGUAGCCUUUAGUUAUGUGAACGGUCCUCAGAUGUGUUUGUCUUGGAGUCGGAUUGCUUGGGAAUGCAGUCCAAAGUGGGUGGUAAACUCCAUCCAAGGCUAAAUACCUGCACGAGUCCGAUAGUAAACAAGUACCGUGAGGGAAAGUUGAAAAGUACUCUGAAGAGAGAGUAAAUAGUACGUGAAGCCGCUUGUAGAGAAGCUGGUGGAGUCCAGCUGCAUACUGUGUGGAUUAAGCUGGUGUGACCAUUGUCUGUACGCGUCUUGUCGGGUGUGCUUGGAAAGAGCGCGGCGGGUCCUCCGUCUCAUGUUCUGUCCGGGUUGAUAGUAUGUUGCCUGACUAGUAUAAAACGCGUUCACACCAGUGUACUUCUGCAUGGUAGGCAUCACGAUCGAUAAUGCUGUUGGUAUGCGAUAGUCAAACCCAGUGUGAGCAGGCCUCGAAGUUUGCUUCAUUGGGGAUGGCAGGUUGUAUUGCUGUGGCUUGCUGCAGUAGUA
rnacentral:rRNA from 1 species